rnacentral:rRNA from 1 species
CUUUUAUGGAGAGUUUGAUCCUGGCUCAGGACGAACGCUGGCGGCGUGCCUAAUACAUGCAAGUCGAGCGGAUCUUCCCUUCGGGGAAGGUUAGCGGCGGACGGGUGAGUAACACGUAGGCAACCU